UACGAAGGGGGCUAGCGUUGUUCGGAAUCACUGGGCGUAAAGCGCACGUAGGCGGAUCUUUAAGUCAGGGGUGAAAUCCCGAGGCUCAACCUCGGAACUGCCUUUGAUACUGGGGAUCUCGAGUCCGGGAGAGGUGAGUGGAACUGCGAGUGUAGAGGUGAAAUUCGUAGAUAUUCGCAAGAACACCAGUGGCGAAGGCGGCUUACUGGUCCGGAACUGACGCUGAGGUGCGAAAGCGUGGGGAGCAAACAGG
rnacentral:rRNA from 1 species